GACGAACGCUGGCGGCGUGCUUAACACAUGCAAGUCGAGCGGAGAUAAUAGCAAUAUUAUCUUAGCGGCGGACGGGUGAGUAACACGUGGGCAACCUGCCUUAUAGAGAGGAAUAGCCAUCCGAAAGGAUGAUUAAUACCUCAUAAUAUUGUAGCUUCGCAUGGAGCAACAAUCAAAGGAGCAAUCCACUAUAAGAUGGGCCCGCGGCGCAUUAGCUAGUUGGUGAGGUAACGGCUCACCAAGGCGACGAUGCGUAGCCGACCUGAGAGGGUGAUCGGCCACAUUGGGACUGAGGCACGGCCCAGACUCCUACGGGAGGCAGCAGUGGGGAAUAUUGCACAAUGGGGGAAACCCUGAUGCAGCAACGCCGCGUGAGUGAUGACGGCCUUCGGGUUGUAAAGCUCUGUCUUCAGGGACGAUAAUGACGGUACCUGAGGGGGAAGCCACGGCUAACUACGUGCCAGCCGCCGCCGUAA
rnacentral:rRNA from 1 species